GACAUUGAGAAAAAUAGAGUGUUUAAGGGUGAAGUGGGAGAGCACAGGACGUCCCGUCAAAAGAGUGAGUAAAUCAUUCAUUUGAUGGAGAGAAUAGAAACAAUAGAGGAUAUUAGUAUUUUAUAGUUAGAGGUGAAAUUCUAUGAUUUAUGAAAGACUAACAGGGGCGAAAGCAUUUAUCUCUUGUAUGUUUAUUGAUAAAGAACGAAAGUUAGGGGAUCGAA
rnacentral:rRNA from 1 species